ensembl:lncRNA
UUAAGAGCCUUUGAAGAUAUUUGGCUAGACCUGACAGGAAUUGCUACUUCCUCAUCCGUUCAGAGCCAAAUCCUGGUGGAGGGAAUUAUUGAUCAGAAAGAGAAAGUAAAAGUGGCUGCUUCUAAAGGAAAGGAGUGUUUUCAGUGCUACAUGGGGUAUUUGAAAGGCAAUUUGGAAGAAGGAAUGGAAGUCAGUGCUUGUACUGAUGGGCAACAGAUGGCUACCGUUAAUACCUAUCUCAACAUCAAUGGUGAAAGGCAAGAAAACAUGGGACAAAUGGCUCUGGCAGCUGUUAAUGGAAGCUUGAGUUUUCUGGCUCAUGGAUGCGGGGAUCCAGUUCUUAAGGCUGAGUACAAACUAUAUGAAAUUGGGAGCCUUCUGAAAGCCAAACUGAUGGAGAAGUUGAAGAAGUUUGAUGAAUAUAUGUGGAGAUGGAGGAGAUCAGUAAGUAUCCGUACAUCAUCUGUGAAAGCACCAUGAAACUUUGAUGCAGUGUUAAUUAAAAAUCGUAUUAUGUGCAGUUGUUUUGUUUUGCUUAAACAUUUAAAUAGUUAAUCCUGUGCUAACCUGCAAUUCAUACGUAGACAAAAAGCCUGUUUCAUGGUACAGAUCCUAUAUCUCUGCACCAACACUGAGGAGUUCAGAAUUGCCUUGGAAUAGAGUCAGAGCUUUGCUUGUCAUCACUAUGUAUUUUGAUAGUUCUUUUUUGGGAACUACUGUAGGUGCAGCACGUUGAUUUUCUGUCGGAAGCAGCGGGCUGGCCUUCAACAGCCUUGCAAAAGGCAGCAGGAUUUCUCCGCAGUGUGGGUAGAGCUGUCGCCCAGGUGUGGAAGCAAAGUGGAAUCAGGCAGAUACUGAGAAGCAAAGUCCCGCUUUACCUGGAUAAAAUUCAAGACGUUGUCCAGCAAAUGCAGAAUGAAUUGCAAAAGCCCCUAGCGACUUUGAAGGAUGCCUACUACGAUGUAACCUUGAAACCACUGGAUGAAGUUUGGCAAGAAAAGACAGAAGAGUGCCUGAGGAAAAUCCAGGCUUUUUUACCCAAGAUCAUAAAAGACGUGUGGCUAAUGGAACCAAUCCAGGUGGCAUUAAAGGCUGUGAAAGCAGGCUUGGAUAUGGCUACACAGCAGAUGCUCAGGUGGGCAGAGGCCAUGUUUUCUAGGGCCGUGAGCAAGAUCCGGAAGCCUUUACUCAACCUUUACAGUUUUUCAGCCAGGAACUGUUCAGUGGCAGUAAAACUGCCAGUACUUCCUAAAGCAGACCGCUCCUUGGAUCUGGCAAAUAUUACUAAUUAUCUCAUAGAAGAAAAGCUAAUGAGGCCUCUCCAAGACCUCUACAAUAUCAACAUAGUCGCAGAGUAUUAUAGAUUCAAACGGAGGAUGAUGGAGAGUCCCUUUGAAUAUCAUGCCAUGUUAAUGGGGACCAAACAUCUUAUGACUUUUGAUGGGAGAAUUUAUGAUUUAGCAUCAAAGUGCAGUGUACUUCUUGCCAAGGAUUUUGUUCACGAUACUUUCACUGUAAUACUAAACGAGGAAACUGGUAACUCAAGAUCACUGUAUGUGGAGAUGAACCAGACCGUGAUCAGUAUCUAUCCAAGACUGAAGGUAUAUAAGAUGUAUAACUUCUCCUUUAUGGAAGAGAACUGCCAAGUACUGGAUCAGUCCCUUGAAAUGAAUAGCACUAAUUCAAGGAGAGAAACCAACAAAAUAGAAGUGUCUAAUCAGAAAGGAGUCUCCGUCUCUUGUGACUUUCAGUAUGAUCUCUGUACUGUCACUCUGGCUGGCUGGCACCAUGGUAUUUCAGCUGGGCUUUUUGGUACCAAUGAUAAUGAAGCUGGAAACGAAUGGAUGCUUCCUAAUCGCUCCUUCACUGACAACGUGCAAGAGUUCACACAGAGCUGGCAGGUAAGCAAGUGCAGUCUCGUACAGAAGAAAGCGAAGCCAUGUCCAAUUACAGCUAAGCAAAACGUCUGUGAAGUGUUUUUUGAAGAAUCACAUUCACUUCUUAGGAACUGCUUCAAAGUUGUGGACCCUGAACCGUUCUACAGCAUGUGCAGGUCUGACUCCUGUGGCUCCGGGGCGCUGGAGGCUGCCUGCAGUUUAGCAGCGGCUUUUGUUCAUUUGUGCAACCGAAAUUUUGUCCCUGUGGAAAUGCCUCCUCAGUGCUUGAGCCAGUUCUGAAUGGCAGGUACCAGCCCUGAAGAUGGAAGAACCCUUUCAGCACGCAAAAUAAAACAGCUAUUUUAGGUGGACA